CGAAAACAACAUAGAACUCCCCACAAAAUUAAGUCUAAUCAAAUAAGGAGUAUUAAAUGUGUCUACUAGUGAAGGGAAAUCCGAAAGCUUGCCAAACCGAUCCACAUCGUUCAACCAAGCUUGCUGAUGUCUGAUGAGUAGUGAAAGAAUAGAACCAAGCUUGUCAAACCAAUCCACAAAAGCUUGCAGCUGGAACCAAAUCCGUGAUCCAAACUACAUCAAGACAUGACAGACAAACCAGCAAUACGUAAUCGGAAAGAGAAAUUGAAAGCCACCGAUCAAUAUAAACUCAAUUUCCAGAAAACAAAGAAUAGGAUAAUUGAACACUUAAUGAUCAAACCGAUCUAUUCGCUCAACUAGAACAGAUCCAGAGCCUUGAACUUGAUAUCAAAUCCACGAUAUGAGCUACAUCAACAUGACAAGACAUACAAACGAGCAUAAGUAACUGGAAAUAGACAUCUUCAGCAACCAAUCAAGACAU